rnacentral:rRNA from 1 species
UACGUAGGUGGCAAGCGUUAUCCGGAAUUAUUGGGCGUAAAGAGCGCGCAGGUGGUUGAUUAAGUCAGAGGUGAAAGGCUACGGCUCAACCGUAGUAAGCCUUUGAAACUGGGAAACUUGAGUGCAGGAGAGGAGAGUGGAAUUCCUAGUGUAGCGGUGAAAUGCGUAGAUAUUAGGAGGAACACCAGUUGCGAAGGCGGCUCUCUGGACUGUAACUGACACUGAGGCACGAAAGCGUGGGGAGCAAACAGGAUUAGAUACCCUGGUA